ACUUCCAUAGCUACUAUGACAUGUAUACAAUUAGUCAUUAUUUGUUGGGAGCUUUUAUAAUGCUUUAAAUAGUUGUUUGAUCAAUUGAAUGACAGUUUUUGUCUAACUUGGUGAAGUAUCUCAUCAUUCUAAUCACAAGUUUGGUGCUCAAUCAAAUCACAAUCAAUAAGAAGCGGAACAUCUCUAGAACUGUAGAACAAUAUAAUUUUUCGCACACAACUCCUGCAUAAAAGAAACUUAAUCACAAACUUUAAUAUGUAUACACAAUUAACUAAUUCAACCUUAGAAGAAUUGCUAGCAAUGCAACAUGCAUAAAAGACACAUUUGCAUUAUGAAGUAUCUCAACAUUCUAAUCACAAGCAUAAUGCUCACGAGUCCCUCUUAUGCAACACCUUAAUCCUCAUGUGUCCUUAUGCGACACCUUAAUCCUCAUUUCCUCAUGUGUCCCUUUUAUACAAGAGCUUAAUGCUCAUGUUCCCUCUUAUGCAACACCUUAAUCUUCACGUGUCCCUCUUAUGCAAGAGCUUAAUGCUCACGAGAACCUUCUAUGCAAGAGCUUAAUGUUCGCGCGUCCCUCUAAUGCAAGAGCUUAAUGCUCGUGCUUCCUUAUGCAAGACCUUGAUGCUCUGGUGUCCCUUUGCUUAUGAAAGAACUUUAUGCUCACUUGUCCCUUCACUUAUGAAAGAGCUAUAUUCUUGUUGCUCGUGAAAGAACUUAAUGCUCACGUGUUCCUAAUGAUGAUGAAAUGGUUUAAUGCUCACGUGUCCCUUCUUUAAUAAAAGAGUUUAGUGCUCAUGUGUCCCUCUUACUUACAAAAGAGCGCAAUGCUCAUGUGUCACUCCUAAGCAAGAGCUUAAUGCUCAUGUGUCCAUGUUGCUUAUAAAAGAGAUUAAAAUAAACUUGUCCAUGUCCCUACUAAAAUAACUUGAAGCUCACGUGUCCCGAUGUUGAUUAUAAAAGAGCUUAAAGCUCACUUGUCCUCGUCGCUUGCAAAAGAGCUAAAGCUCACUUGUGUCCCCCCCAUCGCGCGCGCUUAUAAAAGAACUUAAAAGCUCACUUGUCUCUGCUGCUUAUAGAAGAGCUCAAAGUUCUGGGGUCUGUGUAUAUAAAAGAGCUUAAAGCUCAUGUGUCCCGGUUGCUUAUAAAAGAGCUUAAAGCUCACUUGUCCCUCUCGUUUAUAAAAAAAGAGCAUAAAGGGCACAUGUCUUUUUGCUUCUUAAAGAGCUUAAAGCUCACUUGUCCCUACGGCUUAUAAAAGAGUAUGAAGCUCACGUGUCCCUGUGGCUCAUAAAAGAGCUUAACGUUUGCUUGUCCCUGUAGCUUAUAAAAGGGAUUAAAGCUGAAUGUUCAUGUGUCCUAUUGGCUUAUAAAAGAGUUUAAAUCUCACUUGUCCCUUCUGUUCACAAAAGAGUUUAGUGCUCAUGUGUCCCUCUUACUUACAAAAGAGCUCAAUGCUCAUGUGUCACUCCUAAGCAAGAGCUUAAUGCUCUGGUGUCUGUGUUUAUAAAAGAGCUUAAAGCUCAUGUGUCCCGGUUGCUUAUAAAAGAGCUUAAAGCUCACUUGUCCCUCUCGUUUAUAAAAAAGAGCAUAAAGGUCACAUGUCUUUAUCACUUCUUAAAGCUCACUUGUCCCUAUGGCUUGUAAAAGAGCUUGAAGCUCAUUCGUCCUGCUGCUUAUAAAAGAUUAUGAAGCUCACGUGUCCCUGUGGCUCAUAAAAGAGCUCGUCUCUGUAGCUUAUAAAAGGGCUUAAAGCUGAAAGCUCAUGUGUCCUAUUGGCUUAUAAAAGAGUUUAAGGCUCACGUGUCCCUUCUUUUCACAGAAGAGUUUAGUGCUCAUGUGUCCCUCUUACUUACAAAAUAACGCAAUGCUCAUGUGCCACUCCUAAGCAAGAGCUUAAUGCUCAUAUGUCCCUGGUGCUUAUAAAAGAGCUUAAAGCUCAUGUGUCCCGGUUGCUUAUAAAAGUGCUUAAGACUCACGUGUCCUUGCUUAAAAAGGAGUUUAAUGCUCAUAACCCAAUGAUUACGAAAUAGCUUGAUGAUCAUGUGUGAAAGCGCUUGAUGCUCAAAUGUCCAUGUUGUUUAUCUAAAAACUCUCUCGAGUGUCCAUGUUGCAUAUGAAAAGAGCUUAAUGCGCACGUAUCCUCCAGAGCUGAUGCUCACAUGUCCCUUCUGUGUCCCUGUGGCAUAUGAAAGAGCUUACAGCUCACUUGUCCCUAUCAAUUAUAACAGAGCUUAAAGCUCACUUGUCCCUAUUCCUUAUUAAAGCGCCUAAUGCUUACGUGUUCCAUGUUGCUUAUAAAAGAGUUUCAAGUUUACUUGCCCCUAUCGCUUAUAAAAGAGCUUAAAGCUCACAUAAAAUAGCAUGAAGCUCACUUGUCCUUGUGAAUUAUAGAAGAGUUUAGAGCUCACUUGUCGGUGUCGCUUAUAAAAGAGCUUAAAGGUCACUUGUCCCUUCCACUUAUACAAGAGCAUAAAGCUGACGUGUCCUGGUUGCUUGUAAUAUAGCUUAUAACUGACUUGUCCCUCUCUCUCUCUUAUAAAAGAGCUUAAACCUCACGUCUCCCUGUCACUUAUAAAAGAGCAUUCAGCUCACUUGUCUAUGUCGCUUAAAAAGAGCUCAAAGCUCAUGUGUCCAUGUCCCUUAUAAAAGAGCAUGAAGCGCACGUGUCUCUGUGGCCUAUAAAAGAGCUUAAAGCUCACUUCUCCCUGUUGCUUAUCAAAGAGCUUAAAAGUUACUUGUCCCUCCCCAUUUGUAAAUGUCCCUGACGUUUAUAAAAUUGCAUAUAGCUCAUGUGUCCUUGAUGCUUGUAAAAGAGCUUAAAGCUCACGUGUCUAUAUCGCUUAUAAAAGAGCUUAAGGCUCAUGUGUCUCUAUUGCUUAAGGCUCAUGUGUCCCUAUUGUUUAUAAAAGAGCUUAACGGUCACACGUCUCUCUUGCUUAUAAAAGAGCUUAAUGCUCAUUUAUCCUAAUGAUUAUGAAGUAGCACAAUGCUUAUGAAAGAACUUGCUCAAAUGUCCAUGUUGGUUAUGAAAAGCGUCUAAUGCUCAGGUAUCACUCAUAGCUUGAUUCUCACAUGUCCCUACUGCUUAUGAAAGAGCUUAAAGCUCACUUAUCGUGUGGCUUAUGAAAGAGCCUAAAGCUCACUUGCCCUUGUUACUUAUAAAGAGCAUAAAGCUCACUUGCCCAUGCUGCUUAUUGAAAACUUAAAGCUCACUUGUCCCUGUCAUUUGUAAAAGAACUUAAAGCUCACUUAUCCUCAUUGUUAAUUGAAGAGCUUAAAGCAUAAAGCUCACUUGUCCCUGCUGCAUAUUAAACAGCAUAAAGCUCGCGUGUCCCUAUGGCUUAUAGAAAAGCUUGAAGGUUAGUUGUCCCAGUCUCUUAUAGAAGAGUUUAAAGCUCACGCUCCCUGUUGCUUAUAAAAGAGAUUAAAAUAAUCUUGUCCAUGUCCCUAAUAGAACAACUUAAAGCUCACAUAAAAGAGCAUGUAGCUCACGUGUCCAUAUGGAUAUAAAAUAGCAUAAAGCUCAACGUUUCCUUCCCAUUUAUGAAAAAGCUUAGAGGUCACUUGUCCCUCUCGCUUAUAAAAGGGCUUAAAGCUCACGGGUCCCUGUUGUUUAAUAUAAGAGCUUAAAGCUCACUUUUCUCUGCCACUCGUAAAAGACCAUAAAGCUUACUUGCUCCUGCCGCUUAUAAAAGAGCGUAAAGCUCACUUGUCCCUGUCAUUUAUGAAAGAGUUUUAACGCUCACUUGUUCCCAUCAUUAAUUAAAGAGCUUGAAGCAUAACGCUCACUUGUCCCUGCUGCUUAUUAAAGAGCAUAAAGCCCACUUGUCCCUCUGGCUUAUGGAAAAGCUUAAAGGUUGCUUGUCCCUGUCUCCUAUAGAAGAGUUUAAAGCUCAUGUGUCCAUGUUGCUUAUAAAAGAGAUUAAUAUAAACUUGUCCAUGUCCCUACUAAAAUAACUUAAAGCUCACAUAAAAGAGCAUGACGCUCACGUGUCCCGAUGUUGAUUAUAAAAGAGCUUAAAGCUCACUUGUCCUCGUCGCUUGCAAAAGAGCUAAAGCUCACUUGUCCCCCCUCCCCCCGCGCUUAUAAAAGAACUUAAAAGCUCACUUGUCUCUGCCGCUUAUAGAAGAGCUCAAAGUUCUGGGGUCUGUGUAUAUAAAAGAGCUUAAAGCUCAUGUGUCCCGGUUGCUUAUAAAAGAGCUUAAAGCUCACUUGUCCCUCUCGUUUAUAAAAAAGAGCAUAAAGGUCACAUGUCUUUAUCGCUUCUUAAAGAGCUUAAAGCUCACUUGUCCCUAUGGCUUAUAAAAGAGCUUGAAGCUCAUUCGUCCUGCUGCUUAUAAAAGAGUAGGAAGCUCACGUGUCAAUGUGGCUCAUAAAAGAGCUUAAAGUUUGCUUGUCUCUGUAGCUUAUAAAAGGGCUUAAAGCUGAAAGCUCAUGUGUCCUAUUGGCUUAUAAAAGAGUUUAAAGCUCACGUGUCCCUUCUGUUCAUAAAAGAGUUUAGUGCUCAUGUGUCCCUCUUACUUACAAAAGAGCGCAAUGCUCAUGUGUCACUCCUAAGCAAGAGCUUAAUGCUCACAUGUCCCUGGUGCUUAUAAAAGAGCUUAAAGCUCAUGUGUCCCGGUUGCUUAUAAAAGUGCUUAACACUCACGUGUCCUUGCUUAAGAAAGAGUUUAAUGCUCAUAACCCAAUGAUUACGAAAUAGCUUGAUGAUCAUGUGUGAAAGCGCUUAAUGCUCAAAUGUCCCUGUUGCUUAUCUAAAAACUUUCUCGAGUGUCCCUGUUGCAUAUGAAAAGAGCUUAAUGCGCACGUAUCCCUCAGAGCUGAUGCUCACAUGUCCCUCAUGUGUCCCUGUGGCAUAUGAAAGAGCUUACAGCUCACUUGUCCCUAUCAAUUAUAAAAGUGCUUAAAGCUCACUUGUGCCUAUUCCUUAUUAAAGCGCCUAAAGCUUACGUGUUCCCUGUUGCUGAUAAAAGAGUUUCAAGUUUACUUGCCCCCAUCGCUUAUAAAAGAGCUUAAAGCUCACAUAAAAUAGCAUGAAGCUCACUUGUCCUUGUGAAUUAUAAAAGAGUUUAGAGCUCACUUGUCGGUGUCGCUUAUAAAAGAGCUUAAAGCUCACUUGUCCCUCCCACUUAUACAAGAGCAUAAAGCUCACGUGUCCUGGUUGCUUGUAAAAUAGCUUAUAGCUGACUUGUCCCUCUCUCUCGCUCUCUUAUAAAAGAGCUUAAACCUCACGUCUCCCUGUCACUUAUGAAAGAGCAUUCAGCUCACUUGUCUAUGUCACUUAUAAAGAGCUCAAAGCUCAUGUGUCUAUGUCCCUUAUAAAAGAGCAUGAAGCGCACGUGUCUCUGUGGCCUAUAAAAGAGCUUAAAGCUCACUUCUCCCUGUUGCUUAUCAAAGAGCUUAAAAGUUACUUGUCCCUCCCCAUUUGUAAAUGUCCCUGUCGUUUAUAAAAUUGCAUAUAGCUCAUGUGUCCUUGAUGCUUGUAAAAGAGCUUAAAGCUCACGUGUCUAUAUCGCUUAUAAAAGAGCUUAAAGCUCUAUAUCGCUUAUAAAAGGCUUAAAGCUCAUGUGUCUCUAUUGCUAAGGCUCAUGUGUCCCUAUUGUUUAUAAAAGAGCUUAACGGCACAGUUACUCUUGCUUAUAAAAGAGCUUAAUGCUCAUUUAUCCUAAUGAUUAUGAAGUAGCACAAUGCUUAUGAAAGAACUUGCUCAAAUGUCCAUGUUGCUUAUGAAAAGCGUCUAAUGCUCAGGUAUCACUCAUAGCUUGAUUCUCACAUGUCCCUACUGCUUAUGAAAGAGCUUAAAGCUCACUUAUCGUGUGGCUUAUGAAAGAGCCUAAAGCUCACUUGCCCUUGUUACUUAUAAAAUAGCAUAAAGCUCACUUGCCCAUGCUGCUUAUUGAAAAACUUUAAAGCUCACUUGUCCCUGUCAUUUGUAAAAGAACUUAAAGCUCACUUAUCCUCAUUGUUAAUUGAAGAGCUUAAAGAUAAAGCUCACUUAGGUCCCUCUGCAUAUUAAACACUAAAGCUCGCGUGUCCCUAUGGCUUAUAGAAAGCUUGAAGGUUAGUUGUCCCAGUCUCUUAUAAAAGAGUUUAAAGCUGACGCUCCCUGUUGCUUAUAAAAGAGAUUAAAAUAAUCUUGUCCAUGUCCCUAAUAGAACAUCUUAAAGUCACAUAAAAGAGAUGAGCUCACGUGUCCAUAUGGAUAUAAAAUAGCAUAAAGCUCAACGUUUCCUUCCCAUUUAUGAAAAAGCUUAGAGGUCACUUGUCUCUCUCGCUUAUAAAAGGGCUUAAAGCUCACGGGUCCCUGUUGUUUAAUAUAAGAGCUUAAAGUUCACCUUUCUCUGCCACUCGUAAAAGACCGUAAAGCUUACUUGCUCCUGCCGCUUAUAAAAGAGCGUAAAACUCACUUGUCCCUGUCAUUUAUGAAAGAGUUUUAACGAUCACUUGUUCCCAUCAUUAAUUAAAGAGCUUGAAGCAUAACGCUCACUUGUCCCUGCUGCUUAUUAAACAACAUAAAGCCCACUUGUCCCUCUGGCUUAUGGAAAAGCUUAAAGGUUGCUCGUCCCUGUCUCCUAUAGAAGAGUUUAAAGCUCAUGUGUCCAUGUUGCUACUAAAAUAACUUAAAGCUCACAUAACAGAGCAUGACGCUCACAUAUCCCGAUGUUGAUUAUAAAAGAGCUUAAAGCUCACUUGUCCUCGUCGCUUGCAAAAGAGCUUAAAGCUCACUUGUCCUCGUCGCUUGCAAAAGAGCUAAAGCUCACUUGUCCCCCAACGCCCCCGCUUAUAAAGAGCUUAAAAGCUCACUGUCUCUGCGCUUAUAAAGAGUUAAAGUUCUGGGGUCUGUAUAAAAGAGCUUAAAGCUCACUUGUCCCCUCGUUUAUAAAAAAGAGCAUAAAGGUCACAUGUCUUUAUCGCUUCUUAAAGAGCUUAAAGCUACUUGUCCCUAUGGCUUAUAAAAGAGCUUGAAGCUCAUUCGUCCUGCUGUUAAAAGAGUAUGAAGUUCACGUGUCCCUGUGGCUCAUAAAAGAGCUUAAACUUUGCUUCUCCCUGUAGCUUAUAAGGCGUAAAGAACUAUGUCAGUGUUCCUAUGGUAUAAAGUUUAAAGCUCACGUGUCCCUUCUGUUCACAGAAGAGUUUAGUGCUCAUGUGUCCCUCUUACUUACAAAAGAGCGCAAUGCUCAUGUGUCACUCCUAAGCAAGAGCUUAAUGCUCACAUGUCCCUGGUGCUUAUAAAAGAGCUUAAAGCUCAUGUGUCCCGGUUGCUUAUAAAAGUGCUUAAGACUCACGUGUCCUUGCUUAAAAUGCUCAUAACCCAAUGAUUACGAAAUAGCUUGAUGAUCAUGUGUGAAAGCGCUUGAUGCUCAAAUGUCCCUGUUGCUUAUCUAAAAACUUUCUCGAGUGUCCCUGUUGCAUAUGAAAAGAGCUUAAUGCGCACGUAUCCCUCAGAGCUGAUGCUCACAUGUCCCUCAUGUGUCCCUGUGGCAUAUGAAAGAGCUUACAGCUCACUUGUCCCUAUCAAUUAUAACAGAGCUUAAAGCUCACUUGUCCCUAUUCCUUAUUAAAGCGCCUAAAGCUUACGUGUUCCGUGUUGCUUAUAAAAGAGUUUCAAGUUUACUUGCCCCCAUCACUUAUAAAAGAGCUUAAAGCUCACAUAAAAUAGCAUGAAGCUCACUUGUCCUUGUGAAUUAUAAAAGAGUUUAGAGCUCACUUGUCGGUGUCGCUUAUAAAAGAGCUUAAAGCUCACUUGUCCCUAC
rnacentral:lncRNA from 1 species